rnacentral:rRNA from 1 species
CCUACGGGGGGCAGCAGUGGGGAAUAUUGGACAAUGGGCGAAAGCCUGAUCCAGCAAUGCCGCGUGAGUGAUGAAGGCCUUAGGGUUGUAAAGCUCUUUUACCAGGGAUGAUAAUGACAGUACCUGGAGAAUAAGCUCCGGCUAACUCCGUCCCAGCAGCCGCGGUAAUACGGAGGGCGCUAGCGUUGUUCGGAAUUACUGGGCGUAAAGCGCACGUAGGCGGUUUUUCAAGUCAGGGGUGAAAGCCCGGAGCUUAACUCCGGAAUUGCCGUUGAAACUGGAGGACUAGAGUCUUGGAGAGGUGAGUGGAAUUCCGGGUGUAGAGGUGAAAUUCGUAGAGAUUCGGAAGAACACCAGUGGCGAAGGCGACUGACUGGACAAGUAUUGACGCUGAGGUGCGAAAGCGUGGGGAGCAAACAGGAUUAGAUACCCGAGUAGUC